rnacentral:tRNA from 1 species
UCUUGGUUAGCUCAGUCGGUAGAUUCCUCCACUGGAAAGGGGGAGGACCCUGGUUCGAUACCAGGACCAGGCG